rnacentral:rRNA from 1 species
CCUACGGGAGGCAGCAGUGAGGAAUUUUCUGCAAUGGGCGAAAGCCUGACAGAGCAAUACCGCGUGAGGGAUGAAGGCCUACGGGUUGUAAACCUCUUUUCUCAAGGAGGAAGAUCUGACGUUACUUGAGGAAUAAGCAUCGGCUAACCCUGUGCCAGCAGCCGCGGUAAUACAGGGGAUGCAAGUGUUAUCCGGAAUUAUUGGGCGUAAAGCGUCUGCAGGUUGAUAUUUAAGUCUUUUGUUAAACCUCCGGGCUCAACCCGGAAUCUGCAAAGGAAACUAUAUAUCUUGAGUAUGGUAGGGGUAAAGGGAAUUUCCAGUGGAGCGGUGAAAUGCGUAGAUAUUGGAAAGAACACCAACAGCGAAGGCACUUUACUGGGCCAGUACUGACACUCAGAGACGAAAGCUAGGGGAGCCAACAGGAUUAGAUACCCUGGUAGUCCUAGCUGUAAACGAUGGAUACUAGAUGUUGUGUACCUUUGGGUAUGCAGUGUGUAGCUACGUACGUUAGUAUCCGUCCGUCGGAGUAUGCGUCGCGAGAGUAGAACGUACGAAGUAAGUAAGUUAGUUACGGCGUGUUAGACGUGCCGACGGCGACGACGAGGGAGGAGG